GAUGCGUGAUGAUGAAGUUAAAUGUCUUCCUUGUUGCUGUGUCUCCAGGCACUGCUAUAAGGAGCCUCUGGGAGUUCCAGGGUGAAGAGACCUGCCUCUGUCUGGAGACCUCUACUAAAGGUGAAGACCUCCUAACAGACCAGGCAGCCUUAGCAGGAACUCAGAAAUCUUACAUCAAGAAUUUCCUGGAGUAUUACAUUCUCCCAUUCAGAGCGUGGACAAGAGUUUGGCAUUGCGCUUUUACAGAUCGCUGCUGGUAGCGGAGCACAAAGGGAACGACGAGACUCCUGCAUCUUUCAGCAAGAAGAAAGGAGUCAGUGGAGCAGACUAAUACGGACUUGUGUCGGGUGGCCUUGCCCUACAAAGGCUGCCUUUAAAAGAGAAACGCAGUGUUAUUUAAUGAGCUGUGAGAUGAAGCACUGCUGCUAACGCUCAGAUCCCGGGAUUCAUCGGCUAUUCAUUGUGCUUAAUGUACAUGUUUCUGCACCGUGCAUUUAGGAGAACCCAGAGAAGAAUCCAAAACGGCUG
rnacentral:lncRNA from 1 species